GACAGAGGAUGCAAGCGUUAUCCGGAGUGAUUGGGCGUAAAGCGUCUGUAGGUGGCUUUUCAAGUCCGCCGUCAAAUCCCAGGGCUCAACCCUGGACAGGCGGUGGAAACUACCAAGCUGGAGUACGGUAGGGGUAGAGGGAAUUUCCGGUGUAGCGGUGAAAUGCGUAGAGAUCGGGAAGAACACCAACGGCGAAAGCACUCUGCUGGGCCGACACUGACGCUGAGAGGCGAAAGCUAGGGGAGCAAAUGGG
rnacentral:rRNA from 1 species